GCUCCCAAAUAAAAAACACAAUGAAAAAACGAGGUUCUGAUGGAUUUCUAUGGCCGUAUAAGGGGAUUUUAAAUAAGGAUCAUGUUGGCUACCUUGGGCCUAUAUAAAAAAAUUGAUGGCCGAUUCUGAAAGAUGGCAGAUCGAAGCAGAAUGAAAUGGUGGUUCCGGAAAUUUAAGCUAACAAAAUUCAAUUGGACGUGCGAUUUGGCCUUGGUUUGCUGCUUCCGUUCAGGAAACCUAAAACUAGAUAAUAUACAAUGAAACAUAAUUUCACUUAUAUUAAGUUUUUUCUCUAUAUUCACGUAAGGACCAAAGCUCAUAGACUAACGUCUAGAGACUUUGGCGAGAAAUACCCCUUACAAUUUCUCCGGAAAUAAAAGAAAAAAAUAUUCAAAAAUAAAAUUAUUUUGAAAAAAGGAAAUAUAUAUGUAUAUAUAUAUAAUGUGUAAUUUUCUAAAAGGAAUAAUAAAUAAAAAAAUGUAUUUUGACUUGAAAUUCAGUUCGUCCUUUUAGAAUAUUACCCAAAACUAAAUUAUUUUAACUAACUAUAUUUGGUUUAUCUUCCCCAGGUUAGAAAUUCAGAUGGGACCUGGACCGGAAUACUGAAGGCAGUAUAUGGACCCAAUAAUUAUUCUAAAAACGUUUUAAUCAUCCAAUUUUGGUUCCUGAAGAACUAGCCAACUCUAUUAUCGAGAGGAAAAUUUCUCCAGUCAACGAAAUUUUAAUCGGUUAGCGAAAAUUUUAAAUUUCUAUUAUUAACAUCUAAUUUUAAGUUAUUCUGUUCAGUCCAACAGUAGAUUUAGUAUUCAAGAUAGAUUAAUAAACAAACUUUAGAUAUAUUGCCUCAUUUGCUCCCAGACAAUUCAAAUUGCUAAAUUUUAGUCAGCGCUUUAGUCUGGUUGAGCACUCGGCGAACUAAUCAUUAACGGGCAAACUAUUACGACUUUUUACUGUUCCACAACACAAAUGAACUUCCCUGGUCGUAGGCUUUUACUAAAAAAGAAAACAAAGUGUCAAAUAUAAUCAAGGCAAAAUAUCAUUAACAAAAUGUUUUGUGUAGAAAAGUAUCUACUAACUCAUUCAUACAAAAUACAGAAAAUAAAAUAGGUUUUAUCAUUUUGGUUCGAGCUAGGAGUAGGUAUAAUCGUUGGGACUAGAACCACCAAAGAUGUUGAAACUAUUGUUUCAAAUCUUUGGCAUGAAAUACCCCCAACGAUUUUAUUGAAGGUCUUCAACCACGUAUAGACUAUUAUCUAUAGGUCUGACAAUACGACAUUUCAGGAAUUUUCUCGCUAGCUUGGAAUUGAAAUUAUUUUUAAAGUCGCUUUGUUGGAAGUUGCGACGAUAAACUUCCUGACCAGGUACAAACUUAACUUGACGGCAACGGGUGUUAUAGUACUUUUCGUUCUUCAAAUAUGCCUUAUGCAAAUUCUCACGAAUUUGCUGCCGUAUUAAAACCAUUUUUAGAGGUUUUGGCAAGAUAUCAGAUUCAGGAUCAUGUAGAAUUUGUAGCUUCUUUGCAAGAUUGUAUACACUUCCAUGCGGAAUCAUAUUCAUGCCAAAAAGUGCGAAUUAUGGUGUAACUCCGAUUGAUGUUUGUAUUGAUGACCUUAACGAAUAUUCUAUUUCUGACAGGUAUUUGUCCCACUCAGUAUGAUCUUCUUGUAGGUACGAACGAAU
rnacentral:lncRNA from 1 species